GUCAGUCUUUUGUUAGUUCCCAAAGUGAUGAAAUUCUACCAUGCAGGGAUUUCAUAGUGGCUCUAUUGAUUCAUACCUUCAGCAGACUCCAUCCCAGUGACUUAAGUUUUUGCUUAAAUUUCUUCUAAAAUAUACUCUCCUAAAACUUGUCUAGUUUUGAGUCCCCUAUAGAAGUAGUAAUAGACAAAUCCUGAGAUCUUUUUAGCACCAGGAGUUCAUUCCUCAUUCCCAGUUCUACUCCUGUCAUAUCUCUUUAUAAUUCUGACAUCAGCAUGAUUCAGCACAUUUUCCAUCCUGACCUUUGCAUCUGAGAGUGAAUUUGCCACUAACAGACCUCAGGACAGCCAUUCCUCAACCUAUCAGACUGAGACAAAUUAACCUCCCCCCACCUGAAAACAACCAAUGAAAUCUCCAACUCAUCCCCCCACCAUCUUUUUCUUUUUUAUACAAAGAAAAAGGAAGGAAAGAAAGAAAGAAAGGAA
rnacentral:lncRNA from 1 species